rnacentral:lncRNA from 1 species
UUGAAGCAUAUCCAGAUAUGCUCGAUACAGUCUAGAGCGAUGUGCUCUAGACUAUCAUUUUCUCUAGAGUUCCCAAUUGCCUGGGGAUGCAAAGAAAAGGUUAACGAGCAGCUAUGGAAAUUGAGGAAAUAGAAGGAAUGGAAGUGGAUUACGGGGUACCUUUACACAAAACGGGUGUUGCGUUGGUCCCUGAUGCUCGCUCUGGGGUAGUGCUGAAGUGGACGCUAGAAAAUGCAGUAGAGAGGAACGGGGAGCUUCUUCUGUUCCAUGUCCGAUCUGUUGUCCGAACAAUUACAACUCCUGGUAAGUCACUCUUUAGAAACAUCACUUGCAUCUAACAAAUUGUGUAAGUUGGGAGAGUACCUGUCUCGCAAGUUUCGAAGGAAAAACUUGCAGCGUAUAUGGCAACCAAGGAGGCCAAGACAGCGGACUUCUCUCAGGAGCUGCAAAAUGUCUGCAGACGUUAUGAGGUCCGAUCGGCUUGCUGAAAACUCAAAGGAAACACUUGACUUACAGGUGAAAGCAGAAUUCGUUCUCGUAGAGAGCGACGAUGUUGGUAAGUCUUUGGUGGAGCAAAUUGAGAAGUACCAAGUGACAACAUUCGUUCUUGGAGAGUCCCGAACAAACCUUCUGUAAGUAAGCAAGCUUGUUUCCUGCAAUGUGACACACGGUUUUAGUUCCUUUCAUCAGGAGAUUGAGGUCGGGAGUUUCAGACUACGUUCGGAAACAUGCUCCAGAUUACUGUACUGUGCAGUGCAUAUCGAAAUCCUCGAAAUUGGCGUCAUUCAGGAAUGCUUCACCACCGCACUCAUUCCCUCGUACAAAUUCAUCUCCUGCUCGUCCGAGUGUGGCGGACAAAUUCAUUUUCCCCUUAUCUCCGUCUCCAUCCUCUAGCUGGCUGGAAGCUGACGCUUUGAAUCGCGAAAUUCUCAUGGUAUCGACCUCUCCGCUGAAAAGUCACCUAUCAAUGCGAAGCAGUGACAGUAAGGAUGAGAUCGCUGAAGGAAGCUACCAACCUCAAACGCCGGAACUAAAAGUUGUGCCACCAGCCUUUCGCACUGAAGAAGAAUUCGCAGAGUCUUCGCCCAGUAGUAUCAUCAGCGAGCCCCUGCCUGCGGAUCCCAAGGUUAGAUUUACAAGAACAGCAUUUUGUUCUGACUCUCUCGUGCAGGCUGGAGAUCUGGAGCAAAUAAACAUGCUCAAGCAGCAGUUACAAAAUGCCAUCGUGGCUGCAAACAAAGCAAAAGAAUCUGCCGACGCUGAAACACUACGGAGCCAGGAAGCUCGCGAGAACGCUGAUUGGGCUUUAAAACGGGUAAACUGGAGAUGCUAUCGUCAAAAGUCUUACGAUUUCAUGGCAUUCCAGGCGGAAAUAUUGAUGCGAGCGGUCGAGGAGGACAAUCAGCGAGAGUAUAACGCAGCAAAGAAAUUAGAUGAGGAAUCGCAGAAGCGUGCUGAAGCUCUCACGCUUGUCAACUCGAUGAAAAAAGCACUGGUGGACGAAAUCCGGAGAAGGAAGGAAAUGGAAAACAGGAUAGAGCUCCAAUGUAAAGCAGAAGCUGAGAGAGAGGCCAACAGGCAACAACUGCUCAAGUACACACAAUUCACGUUUGAGGAACUCCGAGACAUCACAGACAACUUUUCUGAGAACAACAAAAUAGGAGAGGGAUCAUACGGUCACGUCUACAAAGGCACUCUCCACAGGACCAACGUAGCAGUCAAGGUUCUAAGACAUGAUAGUUGGCAAGGACCACAAGAGUUCGAACAAGAGGUACGUAAACUCACUCGAAUUUCUAAAAUCUCUAACAAGCAUGGGAAAAUAAAGGUGGAAGUGCUGAGCCGACUACACCAUCCUCACAUCGUUCUACUGCUAGGCGGAAAUCCGGAAAAGAAAUGCCUUGUCUACGAGUACCUGGAAAACGGGAGCUUGGAAGAUCGACUGUUCUGCAAGGACGACUCGCCGCCAAUCUCAUGCCUCACGAGGUACCAGAUUGCGGUGGAAGUCGGCACAGCGCUCCUCUUCCUCCACAAGGCAAAGCCACAGCCGAUCGUGCUCCGGGACCUCAAGCCUUCCAACAUCCUGCUAGACAAAAACUACAACAGUAAGAUCAGCGACGUUGGGUUGGCAAGAUUCAUGCCAGGCGACGCGACAAGCGUGAGGAGCACAUCACCUGUGGGAACGUUCGCGUACAUCGAUCCGGAGUACCAGCGGGAAGGCAGCUUCAAUGCAAAGUCGGACGUGUUUGCGUUUGGGAUCAUCCUGCUCCAGCUCCUCACCGCGACGAGCCCGGUUG